GACGGAGGGUGCAAGCGUUGUUCGGAUUGACUGGGCGUAAAGGGCGUGUAGGCGGUUGGUCAAGUCCGAUGUGAAAGCCCGAGGCUUAGCCUCGGAAGUGCAUCGGAAACUAGCCAGCUGGAGCGCGAUAGAGGAGGGUAGAAUUCCUGGUGUAGCGGUGAAAUGCGUAGAUAUCAGGAGGAAUACCGGCGGCGAAGGCGGCCCUCUGGAUCGUUGCUGACGCUGAGACGCGAAAGCGUGGGGAGCAAACAGG
rnacentral:rRNA from 1 species